rfam:Medicago truncatula strain A17 chromosome 2, whole genome shotgun sequence.
AUAACUAUAUAUUUUCUUUGUUAUCAAGUGUAGUAUCUGUUUUUUAUCGGUUUAAUAACUGAUAUCUGGUCCAAUGAAUCAUACGAUAUUAAAUUACUUUUUUGAGGAGGAGAAAUCAUCUAUGUAGUUUAUUGUUGGACUUCUCAUAUUUCGCUUAUGCGUUGCACUAUUGCAUAAAUCUGACGCACCCCAU